rnacentral:snRNA from 1 species
CCGCUUUGGCAGCACCUAUACCAAAAUUGGAAUGACACAGAUUAGCAUGGUUCCUAUGCACAGAUGACACCCAAAUUCAUGAAGCGCUUCAUAUAUUU